UUUUUGUCACAAUAUGCUCACUGUUUAGGGCUAAAGGAUAAAGUAGUUAUAGUCAGACAUUGGGUAUGCAUAAAGUGUGGUAUAAAUUUAAAAUUAAACAAAAAAUGCAAACAUGAUGAAUACACACUGAAGCUAGCGCUAGGCUGUCGUGGAAAAAAACUAUUUCAAGCACUGUUCAGGUGAAAUCACUCAAUCAGGUUUAUUCAUAUAUUGUGCACAAUACAGAGAGUUUGUAGGACAAUCGGUAAUGAAGCAAGUCUGGACGAAAAGCUCGCAAAAGCUCUCCCAGGCACAGACAACACAUGAGUUUUAUACCAAGGAUAAAGAAUUAACAACAAGGUGCAAGACAGUCUGGUUCUGAUGCAGCUGCAGAAAACAACUUCCAACCUUCUGCAUGUAACCCAAAUAAUUCUUUUGGUGAGAGUUCAUAAACAUUUCAUAUAACAUGACUAGCAGAUGUGACCUUAUUGUAAUUUUUCCAUGACAUUUCCCCCCUUUUGAUAAUAAAUAAAUAUGAUAAUAUUUAUAUUAAUCAACACACAUUUCCCUCCUCAGUCUUAAGACAUAACACAACGGUAUCCUGGAAGAUGUAACAAAAGGUACAUAUCAUAGAAUCGAAAAACCAACCGGCAGUCCCCUAGUCUACUCUGCAACAAUAUCACUGUGUUAGGUAGGAAAAGUUAUCUUGCAACCCCUCCUUGCCAGGGAGGCGGUCCUCUAUACCUCACGCUUUGCAUUUGGGAUGACGACUAAGGAGUAUAAAUUAGCUUCAAUUUGUACGAUGGUGCAUUCAUCAACUAGAAAAAAGAAGGGAUUUUUGAGUUAUGGCCUGCUAAAUCAUUGGUGAGGACUGAUCGAGUUAAGAAUCAGCCAAUUUCUGCAACUGCAGUCUCCAUUACCCAUAAGGCCCUCAAUGAAAACAUUGCUUCAAAUAGUUGUUUUAAAAAUGGGGCAGUAUUUUCCAGGCACCUACUGCCAUUUUAUAGCAUAAUAGCAUGUUUCCUUAAGUCAUUAUAAAAUCCAGUAUCCAAAUAUGACUUAAUAGAAAUGUGCACAUUCUGAAUCAUGACAUUGCUCUUAAUCAUUUGACAAAGUUUUUACCAGCAUUUCUCUGAGAAAUAGCAUGAAUAAUGAGCUCAGCAGAUGUGCAGUUCCACCAGGUGUUUGCAAAUUGCUGCUAGCUAGUCUGGAGGAGCUGAGUGAGAGUCACAGGGAAGGGCUGCUUUGUGAGGCAGAAGCUCAGAAGCUUGGAAAGCUAGAAGGCAGCGCUUUCGGUCCACCGAGGCAAUUUGCACAGUUGAACGGCUGCCAUAGGAGCUUAAAAAAUUCUUAAAGAUGCAUAAAAUAAUCAAGGGAAUACUCCAGGUAUGUUUUUGAUACAGGAGUAGUAUUAUAAGAUAAUAUAAAGCUUCAAAAAGUUGAUUAUGCAUAAUACUGCCCCCUUAAAAUAAAUUACACGUAUUAGUUGUGACCUAACAUGAUAGUUUCACACGUUAAACAAUGGAGGGACAACUCCACUAAACCUCAGGGAGAACAAUAAUACGUGUUUGUGUUCUGGACAAAGUAGGAGCUCCCACCCCACCCUGUUUCUGUGUGGCUCACACACUCCAUGCUCACAGAGAUUUUUUCCUAGGUCAAAAACCCAUUAUAACAGGUCUUUUUCCCUCCUCACAUCCUGCCUUUGCUCCUAGCUAUUGCUCCAUUUGUUUAUGCUGGAGUGACUAUGUGUCAGCAGGCUGUCAAUACUGUCUGUAAGGGACUUUAAUGAAUAGGCCUGUUAUUGGACUGGUGGGAAGGUAACCCAUUGUGUCUGUUAGAGCAUCUGUGCGUGUGUGGCCCCUUGGUGUGUGUAACACUGCAGAGAAGAGGGAGGUGGAGGCUCCUCUGGCUCCAACAGCUCCAUCACCCUUUCUGCAGUGUCCUCUCUCAAAGACCAUUUACUAAAGGCAAAGCCAAGGGAACACUGGAGAACUUGAUUUCUUAAAAUGCUUAACAUUAAAUGUGCAGGGUGCUUUUGGUGCCUGGCAAAACUUGAAUAAAACAUGCCAUGUACUCAGCAACCUCCAGUGCCAUUCCUUAAAGCAACUGAACACGAUUAUGGUGUUACAGUAUUGCAUUCACAAGUUAUGGAUGACACCUGGGCAAUGAAGUUUGAAAGAUUCAGAAUGGUUUAAUAGUGAGAAGCCAAGUACAUUUUAGUUGAAACGGCAGUUCGAUGGUGUUUUCUAUAGUCAUUUGUAUUGUAAAUAGAUGGCAUUUAAAUACUUUAUGCCCCUACAGCUUUGUGGGAAUAGAGCACUGCUCCGUUUUAGUUAAACAAACCAAAGUCAAUAACGGCAAAAAAAAUACCUGGUGAACAUAAUCUUUUACCUCAGGAAAAUACAACUGAGUUUAUUUCCAGACUGUUCAAUUAACUGAACUGUGAGGCUAAGCAUUGACAUUAGACAAAAGUCUGACCUCCAAAUGUCCGUAGUUAAGAUAAUAGCAGUCAUAUCACAUAACAUACCCUGCAGCUUAUGAUGAGCUUUGUUUGCCAGCUCUGCAUGGUGUCAAGGAGGAUGCACUGUGGCUUCAAAUAAAACCAAUGUUCUCAACCACAUCAGUGGAUCAGACACUUGUUCUGUAAUCUUCAUGACCUUGUAUCUUUGCCUCGUCAAUGUUUCUCCUCCAUGAAGAGUUUACUCUUAAGUGUGUUGCUUAACUUUGCUUUGUCUGAGAGCAAGUUGGGUUAAUUCUUUCAGCACGGCCUGGAAAAAUACCAAAACCUCUGUCUGCCUUUACAGACGUCUUUGCAACACUAGCUAGCACGUUCUAUUACAAUACUUUAUGACUUACAGCUCUUAUGUUGCAGCCGAUUUGAAAACAUAUAGCUUGGUGAAAACAACGAUUGAAUGUUCAGUGCAGUCUGCUAAGUUGUUUCUUUUUUUUUUUUUUUUUUAAUGCUUCAUUGGGAUCCCUGAAAUAAUUCUGGAAUCAGACUGAGACAUUCCUAAUAGACAACAAUAUAAAUGAAACAUAAGAAGCUAGGAGUAACUAAGGAUAUUAGAUAGCUGGACAAAGUCAGAGAGCUGGACAAAAGUCAAACUCAGUGAUGAUCAUUCAUUUGCUUGGCAAGAGAACAAAGGUGAAGCCUUUGUUUAUAAUAAAAUAAAAUGAUGAAAGAAGAGAAAGCUGAUUAUGAAAGUCAGUUAUUUUUCAUAUAUCCUAUUCUAACCUAUGUGUAUCUAUUAUUACUGUGGGUUCGGGUCUCUAAUAAUUGACUCAUAAUUGAGUGAAUCUAAUGUUUUUUUUUUUCCUUCCCUUGAUAGGAAACCGUGUUUGCCUUAAUUUCAAGACAUUUUAACACACUUUCCUGGAGUCUGGAGCUGGACUCAUUUUCAGCCUUGGAGUUUAAAGGGUUUGACUUUUCAACUUUAGUUAAAAAGAAUUAUUAUUACAUUAGCGCAGGGUUCUGUAAAGCUUUGUAAUUGAGUCUAAAACAUUUUCAGUUCUUUGUAUAUUUACUUCAACAUGAAUGCACAUCUUUAGUAGCAUUCUUAAUAGCACAUCCUUUUCAACAAUAUCUGAAUCUAUAUAUUGCUCAAAUAAGUGUUUAGAGAUAUUCAAACCAUAAGAAUGAUAUAAAAGCGUAAAUAUAAAUAUAACAAAAACAUAUAAAGUGUUACAAUUUUUUUUCACACAGUACGCUCUCUUUCCUUAGCCACAAUAUGGUUCCAUCACAACUGAAUUCACAAAUUGAAACCUUAGAUAAAGGGCAAAUCUUCAACACUAUUCUUUACAUCAGAAUUUCCUUUUCUGCAAUAUCAAAUAUCAAGCAAAUUAGUGUUCAAAGAUACCUUAAGAAUGAACAAAAGCUGUUCUUCGCAAUUUUGUUUUUCCCAGUAUAACAUAGCUUUCUAAUGACCUUAUUAUAGUUUUUUCCCCUCUGCAUAAGGUUUUUUUUUUCAGAAACAUGGCCAACCCUGAAACAGUAACAUAUGCCUGAACUGUCCAUUGUUAGAAUACGCGAGAAAGUCUUCUUCGCCUCAUGUCACUAAAUCACAUAAUAAAAUUCUGGUCACUUUAAUAAACUGAAUUAUCAUGCCACCUUUCAUAAAAAGCAGUUUUACACCAAAUUGUUACUAUAUUACUUAGUAAUGUUCACUCAGUGAAGAACCAUAACUGUCCACUCUGAACUUGAGGGCUCAUGGCUGCUAGGCUGUUUCUUUCUUCUGACUGAGGCAGUUAUGAGGUGUCGCAUUAUAAAAAUAUUUAAAUUAGGCAACGUUAUGUUAUAUGGCACAAAUUGACUUGAUUGCAAAAUCAAUCUUGUCUCUUGUCUUAUUUUCUUUUCUCUGUCCUUUUUUGACGAAGUUUGAUGUUGCUUUUUUGAAAAAGUUGCCAAUUUUUACAUGUUUAGCAUCUUCUCUCUGCUGUGUUUCUCUUUUUAUCUAUAGCAUUCUUUGUGGCACCCUUCUACUUUUACUGUCCUGCUUUCCAUCUUUUAAGCACUUGUCAUUUUAAAGGAGUGCACUGGCCUUUUAUGUCAGGGUGUGUCUCCAAAAUUAAAAGGAGAGUUGCUCGUGGAGGCGGAAGCAUCCCAGGGACAGUAGCAGCAGCAGUGGUCACCUGCCUGAAUAAAAAUUGAAAAAAGAGCAACAAACCGUCUCUUGCAGCCCAAAUGUCAGAUGUCAGUGUCAACUCAUAGGGGAUUCUUCCAGUCGUCCUGACUAGACAUUCUUCUCUCAGGUGUAUAUUCUUAGUUGCAAACAAAAAAUACCCUUGUUUGCAAAAGCCCUCAGAAUAAAAAUCGUCAGAGAGGAAUUAUUUAAAAAUUUGCUGCCCAGGAGACAACAAAUGUGGUUGGUUGGUUUUAUUUGAUUAAUUUAUUUAUCCAUCAUCAUGUGCUUAUUUUUGAUUUUGCUUUGGUUUUUGUUCAAGUAAUCAAGCAGUUCAAGUUAGAUAUUUACAUAUACUGUAAAAAACAACAUAAUUUGUCCCCCCUUAAGUCUAGCAUUAGGGUUAUAUUGUAAUAUUUUUAUUACUUUCUUAUUGAGAAGUAAAAAACAAUCUGUAAUGCGUUAAUUCUAACAGGAAAGAUUUAGUCUAAUGUCUAAUAUAUAUAUACAUAUAUAUAAAUUAUAGACUUUUGUAACAGACACCACCAUGUUGUUUGUUUAUCAAAAAAAUUAUAAUGAAAUACUUAAGGUAUUAGCAGGAGAAGGCCCAAUGAUUUAUUCUCUCCCAAACUGGAUCUCAAUGUAAAACGGUUGAGCAGAGCUGAUGCUUGGCAGUGAUAGGUGCCACAUUAAACAUCCUUGCUCUGUUUGUUUGGCUUCAUGAAGGAAGUUGAGAUGAGCAAAUGGGGGAGGGUGGUACCAAAGAUAGCAAAAAUAGGCAGAGGGUAAAAUGGAGUGCACAGUGUCAUCAUGAAAGAAAACUAGCUCCAUCCAGCUCAGGGGACCGGCUGCUGUUGAGAUAAGGUUUCACACAAAGACCGAAAGAAAAAUCAAUUCUCCUUGAGUUGCUGCAAGGUCAAUUCAGAGGGGGUGAAGAGGGGCAAUGAAAGUGUAGAAGAACGUUAUUGGGAAGCAGUGAUAGAAUGAGGCUGGAGUGAAUCCUGUAGGUAGAUAGGGACUCAAAAGAGGGGAAAUGUGUACAAAUGAGUUUGACUGGUAAUAUUAUGGUUACAAUGAGGCUGCAGGCUAUAGCCAAUUAUAUUUUAUGACAGCAUGCUUUAAACUGUGGCUUCUUUGCAUCACCUGACUCAUAAAAAGUGGAAAUAUGAGCAGCAUAUCUGAAACCCAGUGAGGAAUGUUAUCCUAUUAUGCUGUCUUAAUUCGUAGCCACAAGGACAUCUCUUGACUCUGUGAUCUCGUAUGUCAAAGCGGCUCUACUUUUACUUCAGUUUUACUGCCAGACUCAACAAAUUGACUAAAUAGUCCAAGGAUUUUUUUUCCUUCCAAGAAGCCCUAAGCUUGCCUUUAAUCCUUGAUGUUACAUGAACAACUUAAAAUAGCUCCGAUCUCCACCCCUGGCACCCUCUCAUCUCCAACUAAUUCUUCAGAAACAGAUUAAUAAAGCUCAUGUUCGGCUGCUGGGAUGCAGUAAAAGUCUGCUGAUGCAAAGGUGACCGGUUGUCUAUGGCAUUUUGCCCGCUGGUUGUAGUCACGGUAUACCUUCAGCUUCAGCUAAAAGAAUCUCUUUGUUCGGUGUUGGACGGGAGCCGGGGAAGCCUUUUGCUUGCUCGUAGUUAUAGGAUCCAUGUGGCACAGGGCUUAACACAGGCGUCUGGUAUGCACACCUGUCUCCAAACAAGUCCUCCCCUGAAUAAGUGGCCCUACCCUCAGUUAGCAGGAACGAGGGAGGAGGUGGGGGCCGAGAGGGGGUGGAAGGAGCUCUGCCAGGACUUGCAUCACGCCUCCCUUGCCACUGCCUGAAGGGAGGGAGAGAAGAUGGGGGAGGAGGGAUGGUUGAAAUGCCAUAGGUGUGGAUUAGAAGGCUGUAAGGGACAGGGGUGAUGAGGUACCUGAGGUCAUUUGCUUAUCCUUCUCUUUUUUUAUCUACACUUUCCAAAGCGAUGUUUUAUUGCCUGUCAUAGACAGUUUGAUUAUUUUUUUAUGUGUGUCCUCAUCUCUUUCUAUCUAAUAAACUCACUUUUAUAGAAUAUUAAACUUUUGCAUACUCAAAUAUGAACUUGACACUUGGCUCUCAUCCAUCUCCUAAGCUCAGGCAGCGUUAACAGAGUUCAAAGGAGCACCGAUAGAGUGCAACGAACAGGAGUCAGAGGAGAAGGUUCAAGACCAACUAUUUCCAUAAAAUUAGCAUAGUCAGGAUAGAGAAGUUGCCCUGUUGAAACAUGACUAACAGUCCAGAAAUGACUGUUAUGUUGCUCAUAUUUGAAUAAUGCUCGUUAAUGUUUGGUCUUGCUCUGCAUUUUGUUCAUCAAGAGCAGCCAGGGAGCAUCGCAGCAUAUUCUCCAGUCCAAACUGGGAAAUGCCGACGUUUUUGCUUCCCACCCAGAAUGUUCUCGUUUAUCCCGUGACGGCUUGUAUAAAUUUGAGAGCUUGUUUAUUUACUGUUGCUCUGAAGAUGGUUUUUGUGCCUGUGCUGGGCCAAUAAUCACCAGCCAGCCACAGCCACAAAUCUUCAUUAGAGGAUUAGCCUGCUGGGAGACAGCUUGUGUUCUUUUGCUUUCAUUGGUGUCCCUGUGUCCUCUGCUUGCAGGCCAGGGUUCUCCUCCCUUUUCUUAAAUACUCACUAGAGAAUCACACGAGCAUAAAUGCUCAAACAGAUAUGAACGCACAUGAUAUGAUGCAAAGGUUUGGGCACCAACGGUCAACAUUUCAUGUAAUUUUGUUCAGCUUGGUCUGCAUCAAGAUUUACAUUUCCUUUUUGAACAAUUUAAAUCCCAAAAGACUCACAAAGCAUUUUUACGUCAAAAGAGAUUGGAGAUAUGUUUCAGUUUAGAAAAAUUUAUUUCAGAAAGCCAGGUGGGUAUGUACAUCUCAAGAUAUGUAAACAGUGUUAUUCUUUAAAUCUUGACCCACCAGCUUUUAUGCUCCUUAAGAUGGCAAAAUGCUAAUUAGUAAUGAAACAAAACUUUGAUGGAGUCUUAUCAUUCAUGAUGUCUCAUACUUUUGAAAUUAUUACUUUUAUUGCUAAAUAAUAAAAGCAAUAAAAGUAAAAUCUUACCAAAGAUUUGGUAAUGCUACAAACAAUUUAUAAAAGCAAGAAAUACAGUGGAAACCUGAUGUUCAGAGAGACUAGGAACCAAAAACUCCUGUGAAAUACUAAAAAAUAUGCAAAAUAUACUCCUAUAAAAUGUCUAUUUUAGUUCAAACACCAAAAAUACCUUAAUAUACAUUAAUAAGUGCAAUCACAGAGCUAAUAUCUACACUUUUUCUUAUCUCCAAACAUAGGACAUAAGAAAUACCUUCCUUGUUUUUGCAAAAGUGUUUUAUAUUGUCAUGUUACAAAUUAUGUUGCACUUUACUUGGAUUUCAUAUAAUAAACCUGAACAGAGCAUGACCUAAUGACAUAAGAGAAGAAAAAUUAUAGAUGAUUUCCUUUUCUUUUUACAAAUAAAUUAUCUCAAGUGUAGUUUGCAACUCAUUACUCUUCUACUCCUGGAUAAAGUCCAGUGUAACUAGCCAGCUUCAGAAGACAUCAAAUUAGUAAAUGUAAACGUAGUUCUCUACUUCGCAAAUCAGAUCUUUAUGGAAGAAUGGAAAGAAGAAAGCUGUUGCUAAAAUAAAGCAAUGUAAAGUCUUGUUCUCAGUUUACCCAAGCCAUGUAGGAGAACAACAAGAAGAUGAGAGAAAGUACUCAUGUCAGAUGACAGAAAGUCUUGUAAAACAAAAACCUUAAAAAAUCACAAGGUCACAAAAGUUUUUACAAUGUUCUUAUUUAAUUUUACAUCCAGCAACAGUUGUCUUAUGGUGCUUUGGAACAGGUUGUAACAGGCUAUGUGUCCUCACCAGUGAUAAGUAGAGAAGGGGGUUGGCCUAAUUUGAAGAAAAUGAAAAGUUGAGGCAUUACUAAUUUGAUGCAUUUCUGAAAUCACAGCAGGGAGAGUUGUGGCUGGAAAUGACAAGAUCUGACAAAUAUCAUUCGUGAUUGUUUGAAAGGGCAUGUUUUUCCAUCUCAUAGACCUUGGAACAAUGGCAGAAUGCUUAAAAGAACCAAUAACUAUCAGUUUCUGUCUCACUAAAAAAGAAAAAAAAAUCCAAAAAGAACACAUUUGAUUGUUUUACGGAAUUACUGAGGCUUUCAGACAACUUUUAAUUGAGGAAAAAGCAUCAUCAAUUGUUGAAAGAAUUGACCUUCUGGUGCCUGAGACUUUUGUGUGGUCAUAAAAAUCUAAAGGCUGCACUGCAGUUUGUAUAUGAUUUCAUUUAUGUGAAAUGAGCUCUUAAGUUGCAAAUGUAAUCAUUAAGAACACAUUUUGUUAUAGAAAACAUUUUUUCAUUUAAAUUAAGUUUUUAUGCUUAUACAAAAACAACUAGGGGUGCACAGUGGUGCAGGUGGUAGCACUACUGCCUUACAACAAAACCUGAAAUGAAAGAAUGUUGUGGACCAAGGAAAUUAUUAACACAUCCAAGAAAAAAAGAAAACAAAGAAAUUAAUACAGGAAAUGAGUGCACAUUUCUUCCCAAACCAACCAAGCCUGUGUAUCUUUUAUUAAAUAUUUAAAUUAAAUUGAUAGUUGACAGGAUGGUUUGAGAUCAAGUCAUCAGACUGUUUGAAAAAGUGAAAGUAUGUUAUAACUUUCAAUUGAAACAGUCUUCUAUUUCUUUGGUUUUUCUUAGUCUUUAAAGUCAAGCAUGCUACAUCUGACUAUGAUAACACUUUCUUUAAACCUGAAGUUAUCUUUUCUACUACAUCGUCACUGGAUUUACCAAAAACAACCCUGUACAGCUGAAGACUGAUAUCUGGAAAUGCAUCACGAUACUGUAAUACCAAUAACAGGCUUUGGAUUUCUGAUGAUGAUGAUUGCCAUUGUUGUUUUAUUACUAGCACUAGUAGUUGUGUAUUUUUAAUUUGUUGUAUAACCAGAUUGGCAACCUGUCCUUUCCCGUACUGCAUAUUUACAUUCGCAGUACUUUCUGGUCCUGGUUGGUCGACGAGGACUUUCUCCGUCGCCUUCAGCUUCAGACCUCCCCUUGAGGGCAGUGUCAUAUUCUGCCUUACUCUGCGUCUGUAAUCCAUAGCUGCAGGGAGGGUGACCUUCACAGCAGGCAGCCUCACAGUGGGCUGUGAUGCAGCAUGCACUCAGGGAAGAGGACAGGCUGGACAAAAAGGCUGCUGGGGCAGCACAUGUUGGUUUCUAGAUAAUGACACCUUCAUACUGCACAGUCUAACUGUAGUUUUCCUCUUAAGGCUACGUGUUGAGGAAAUUUACAAAUUUAAACUCUCAUUUUAAUCGGCUUAAUUUUGUAGAACUAUAUCUAUGUUUGAUAUAUUUCACUUUGUUUCAUUGCUCAUUAACAGACCCCGUGUUUCUGUGGUUCUGAUACUGCUCAGGAUGUAAACCAGGUAUGUCCCCACCGGAGCUGUCUUUUGGAUGAAUGUGUGGUCUGCGUUUAGUCAUCCUGCUGCCAGAGUCCCAGUGAAGAAACAGUUAUUGACAGCGUAUAGUAGAUGACACAGCUAAAUAAGUAAAGUUUUCGCUCAUGAAUGAUGCAUUUUUCCCAGCUGGCCUGAUGGAAAAAGACAGAGAGGCUGCCUGACAGCCGGGGUGCUGUGUGUGUGCAUGGUGCAGAACAAGGACUUCCCAGCCCACCCUAUGGAUCUCUAGAAGCAUCUCACCUCCUUCACAUGAAAGGAUUCAAAGCACCUGCGUUUGACAACCCCUCCCCUAACGAGUGCAGCAGCAGCACGCCUCCAUACGACGGACCCCUCACUCCCCCCCUCAGCAUCAGCAGUAACUUUGCCCUGAAGCAGGAGCCUUCUCCACAUGAAUCAGAGAGGAACUACACACCCCACCCUGGUCAACAUGCCCACUACCUCUCAGCCCACCACUUCCCCACUUCCACAGCUGGCAGCCUACCAGGCAGGGCUCAGUCUCACCCGAUCUUUCAAGCUUCUCGUUACGAGUUACCCCUGGAUGUGGCCUUUGAGUCUUUCACUCCUUCUCACCUGGUCACUGCUCAGAUGGGCACCAUCUAAGACUGAAUGAAACCAGUAAGUGACUGGUCAGAAACUGUCCUCAGAAGUGAAUCUGCCACUGAACAAGUUUUUGGACUGGCUGUGCAAAAACAAAAAAAGGUUUAUGCUGAACCCACUGGGUUCAGAGAGACUUUUCACCUCAACUGAGUCUACCUGAUGCAAACAUGCGACCAUGUUUAUCCUUUUAUUUAUUGCUUUCCUGUUUGAUCUUGCAUUGGUGUUUGAACUCUUAAUUAUUUCCGAACAUUUGCCCUGCAGUUAUGAAAGAGUCAAACUAACCAUAACCAACAUAUCUUUGCUCAUGCAGAAGUAAAAUACAACUAUCUGAUGUUUGAACUCAAGAGCUCUGAGAAUAAAUUGAUCCAAAAGUCAUCCUGCUCAAAUAUGUGCACAAAGGUCUUGAUUUUUAAGAAAGCAACUAUUUAUAUAUGUAUUUAAUAUUUAUUCUGAUAAUGUCUUGUCUUCUUUUUUUACAUUCUUCUCUGCACAGUUUAUGUAUUUCCGUCUCCUUGGUUUGUUGCCAUCCAUUGGUAGCUGUACUUAGCUAUUUAUUUUGAGGUUUUUCAGGUGACUUGUUCAUAUUUGUGUUGCCAUUUUUGUCACAUGUACUGUUAAUAUUUUGCUGUUUCAAGACUUACUGAAAUAAAUAUUCUUAUAUUAUAUGCUAUUUCCAUAGUAACACUGUGUGACAAGCAUUUUUUUUAUAUUUUAGAAUACCAUAUUUUUCUUUAUAUUUUUGGCAAAGGCAUCACUUCAUGUUACUGUGGAGUUUCUCUCGUAACAGACAGAUUUAUUCUUUUCACAUUGAAUUUGUCAAAGAAGUAAGAAAUUAGUUUUCUUUCAUACCUUGCUAUUAGUAGGUGUGUAAAAAAUACAUUUGUGACCCCUUGUGGUUUUUAUUGCACCAAUAAAAGGUCAUAAGCCAGUGAUUCAUAGUGCCGGUCCCAAGUCUUCUGAUAAACGGAGACAGGUUAAGUCAGAAAGGGCAUCCAAUGUAAAACUGAAGCCAAAUCAAAUAUGACAACAUGAACUCCAUACCAAAUCGGUCAAUCCCCAGGUUAAUAAAGAACAUCUCUUGUCCUGUCCUAUGGAAGUUGGACUAAUGUUUCUUGAGAUAAAGUCAAAGAAACCAGACUGAGAUUGUUUCAAUAUUUUCAGAGGUGAAGCAAUGUUUAUUGGCAGUAGGAUGAGAAUAAGACCAAAAAGACAAUUUAUGUAGAAGAGUUUUGUUUGAAAUACACAAAAUUACAGAAACAGUGGGGAAAGAGGAAAUGAAGCUGGUUGGUGUGAAGGUAGAGGAUGCACAGGAUGAAACUAAAUUGAGACAAUUUGGUGAGGUGACCCCUGAACAUAAAAGCCAAUAAAAGAGAUGCAAAAUGACAUUUCUUGUUAAAGUAUUCUACACCAUGUGACUUUAUCGAGUUUUCCACUUUACAACCACAAUCUUCAAUUUAGUUGAUAAGAAUUUUAAUUGAUAGACCAAUUAAGAUAAUAAAUAAACAAAACAGAAAAUUAUAUAUGGUUUUAAUUGGUUUUAUAAAUAAAAAUCUGACAGGGGCAUUUGUUUCCACUCUCCCUGAAGCAAAGGUUUUGGAUGACAUAUUUUGCUGCACCAACAGUUUAAUGACUUUUGUGUUAUAUUUCUAAAAAAUUUAACCAUCAAGAAACAAAGCCUUUUGCUAUUCCUUUUUUUGUUGCAAAACAUUGUUGAACAUCAAUGAUCAAGUCUUGCCAUGGAUAUUUAAAGAGGCUUUGACUUUUAUGACCAUAGUAAAUCUUUUAAUAUUAACAAUUCCAGAAUCUGUCCAUCUUCCAAUCAACUCUGAGCAGCUUCUAGUCUAUGAUAAAGCAUCCACACCAUAUUUGGUUACCUUGCACUAUUAUAUGGGAUAGUAUAUCAGGAAGAUGCACUAUUUAAUUGGUUUUUAUAAAUAAAACCAAUCUUUAUGAUAAAUCUUGUUUGCAUCUAAGAGAAAAUGCAAAAGUUUUAUCUAGUUUGACCAGAACACUUUCUUUCACAUGUUUGCUUUGACCUACAGCUUGCUGGUUUUAAAUCACAAAUUUUGACAACUCUAUAAUAUUUCAAUUGUAGCUUACCAGGCCUGACAAGGUAGACAACCAUGCGUUUGCAGGAGGGCCAUACUUUGUAUUUUGUGAAAUGUUAAAAGGCUGGAAUAUUGUUUGUAUAACACAACUCUGCUUUGAACCUCUCCACAACUAUUUUCCUGCCAUGUUGUUGCACUGGGUUUUGUUUAGGCCUACUAGAGUAAAGUAAGAUAAAUUUAUAUGCAAUUUUUGAUAACAAGGUAGCCUUUUGUCUUCCGCAUGCAAGUUUUUUGAUGAUUCAAGCAGCAUUCAAUCUUCAGAAAACACAUUAAACUUUAUGCUUGCAUCUUCAAAACUGCAGAAAAGUUGAAGUUAAAAAUGCUUUUGAAUGGGAAAUACAUUUACUGAUUUAUCUGCUUUUGGAUUUAGUUUUUAACAAGAUGUGCAGAUUUCUUACUAGCAGAGGAGAAGUUGCUGACUUGUGCCAGCAAACCAUCUGUUCUGUAAUCAGAACAAGGACAAGUAGUACAAAAAUGGAAUCUGAUUCUAUUUGAUUUGAAUCAUUUUAGCAUUUGCUAAAGCAAUGAUAAAAGGGAACUGUUGCAGAAUGUGAGCAUCUGUGUGCCAGUCUGUGUAUGAUGUCACUCAGUGACUUGGCUCCAGGCUUUCUCUCAGGUCAGAUGGGAGGCUGUUGUUGUGGGCCAUGGGAAAAACAGCUCUGGGGAACAGGUGAACAUGUCACAAGGGGUUUUUCUGAGCUCCUCUCAUUCACUUUUCUCUCACAUGUGCCCCAUUUUCCCAUCAGGCUCAUGCCAAAACACCGAGAGAUCAUGGAAAAAAAAUAAAAUAAAAAUAAUUGGUACAUGUUUGCCAGAGUGUGGGAAAACGAGAAGGCACGGAAAAUGAUUAUGAUUUAAAUUGACAGUAAAACAUUGUAUCCUAUUCUUUUAUCAAAAUGGAAGAGUACAGUUUUAUGAAGUCUAUUUAGAGAUGAAAAUCAGAAUAGGCUAUUAAUAACAUAAUAAUGGCCAAAGUAGUUUUGACUUCAAUCAUCACCCUAAACACUACAAUGAGACUUCAAAUAAACAAAAAACAGGAAGCCAAAGUGGAAAAAAAUGACUAGGAAGAGUAGGAGCUGGUUUGUGAGCGCAAGUUUCUUCCUUCUGGCCGGUGGGCAAUUGUGUGAAUGGGAAGUUGUUGUCCGAAAGGACUUUCCACCUCUUCAUCUACCUCUCCAAAAUGUUUGUCUUUUCCA